rnacentral:lncRNA from 1 species
CUAGGAUAUAAAAAGUUCUAGAAAAUAAAAAAGAAAGAAUUUAUUAAUAGGCUUUUGAAAUAGAACUGCCACCCUCUAUGUUUUUCUUCACCUCCCCUCAUUUCUAAAAAAAAAAAGAAAAAGAAAAAAAAAAAAAGAAGAACAACAUAAACCCAAAGCUAGCAGAAGAAUGGAAAGAAUAAAGAUUAGAACAGUGAUAAGUGAAAUAG